GAUGAACGCUGGCGGCGUGCCUAAUACAUGCAAGUCGAGCGAACGGACGAGAAGCUUGCUUCUCUGAUGUUAACGGCGGACGGGUGAGUAACACGUGGAUAACCUACCUAUAAGACUGGGAUAACUUCGGGAAACCGGAGCUAAUACCGGAUGAUAUUUUGAACCGCAUGGUUCAAAAGUGAAAGACGGUCUUGCUGUCACUUAUAGAUGGAUCCGCGCUGCAUUAGCUAGUUGGUAAGGUAACGGCUUACCAAGGCAACGAUGCAUAGCCGACCUGAGAGGGUGAUCGGCCACACUGGAACUGAGACACGGUCCAGACUCCUACGGGAGGCAGCAGUAGGGAAUCUUCCGCAAUGGGCGAAAGCCUGACGGAGCAACGCCGCGUGAGUGAUGAAGGUCUUCGGAUCGUAAAACUCUGUUAUUAGGGAAGAACAUAUGUGUAAGUAACUGUGCACAUCUUGACGGUACCUAAUCAGAAAGCCACGGCUAACUACGUG
rnacentral:rRNA from 1 species